UUAGGUUAUGAGCGUUCCCGAUAGGAAUCAUUACUACUAGAUCCUUGUAACCGAAAUUAUUUUAGGGGGAAUUUUAAGUUG
rnacentral:sRNA from 1 species